rfam:Paramecium bursaria Chlorella virus NY2A Chlorella virus NY2A ctg_13 genomic sequence.
GCCCGCUUAGCUCAGCAUGGUCAGAGCGCUAGACUCUUAAUCUAGUGGUCGUGCGUUCAAAUCGCACAGCGGGUA